rnacentral:lncRNA from 1 species
GAGCAUCUCCAAUGGUAGGAACCUAUUUUGGGACUUAACUCAAUUCUUGCGGAAAGGAGAGAUUUUGCUAUCAUUUCACGUUCAACGCAUGUAUUAGAGCAUCUCCAAUGGUAGGAACCUAUUUUGGGACUUAACUCAAUUCUUGUGGGCCCAAAUUGCCACAUAGGAUUUAAGACACUCAUAAGGUCUUCAUACACAUUUCACUCUAGUGGUUGAGAUCUUAUUUUACUUUUGUCUGGACCCACAGUACUCAAUAUAUUUAUAUUAUUUAUUUUCCUCCCUAAUUUUCACUUUGAUUAUGGUAUUGAAGGAGAGAGAAAAAAAUAUUAUUUUAUUUAAGAUCCCACAUUUGAGAGUACAUGAGCUAAGACACGGAUCUUAGCUUUUGCUAAGAUCUCAUGCCAUGUAGGAUAGCUCCAAUGGUGAGAUC